UGGAAGGAGGAAUCGCUAAAGUAGAAUCGGAGAGUGGCGACGAAGAAGUCACCGGAGAUGAAGGUGUAGAAUCCGGUGACAUGCUAGACGAGGAGAUCGUGGAAGAUGGUGGCGACAAAUCGACUGGAGGUGGAGAAGCAGAGGGAGCGGAAUGAGUAGGCAAAGGCUCGACGAGUGUGAUAGGCGUGUCAGGAAAAGUGAGAAAAGAGAUAUCCUCCACUGAAAAAGUCGAGGAAGAUGGGCGUGGGUAGAAGGGACGAGACUCAUCAAAAGUCACAUCCCGAGAGAU
rnacentral:lncRNA from 1 species